GUGGUUGUGGCGUAGAGCAAGGCUGAUCUCGGGCCACCCGCGGGGCGGGCGACGAUAUCGUCCUAGUGGGCAGGCUGGCUGGCUGGCGUGUCGGGUUUCGGGGAGUAUGGCGGGGAACCGGAGUAGAGGGAUGUGAGCGUUUGAAAGCAGAAUGCCUUUGCUUCCGUGAUCUGAUCAGAGAUCUGAUCAGAGAUUAUGAAGAUACAGUUCCUCCCUUUGGUUUGCAUACAGUUAAGUGGAGCAGAUACAGGUCAAUGGUCAGUGUGCCACUUAAGUAUUCAAGAAGAGGUGAGUGUGUGCAACUUAACUCGGCCGGGGAGGGGCGGGAAUUAAGUGCUUCCGGGAAGUGACUUUUGAGCUAUACAGGCAUUAGGAGGACAAGAAAGGGUAGGUCCAUUCCAGGUACCUAGGGAUCUGUGAUCUGUGGCUUGUUUACAAAUUGUGAAUUACACAGAAGACAGGGUCAAGUGUCUUCUGCCUUUCUUCAGAGGUCUGUCCUUCUGAGGAUAGUGCUCCUCUUGUUUUCCUUCUCUCUCCCUGUCCUCCUUCCCCUUAAUUAGAUGGAUGUUGAGGAUAGAAAAGAAGUCAGAGGGGAGGCAUCUUUCUGAGUGGCAGAGCAAUAGGACAGGUUUACCAAGAAAUAAUGAUUGUACUCAGGAAAUCCAUCUCUAAAAACUGCGUUCCUGCUUUGUUAAAAUGCACAGCUGGGAAACCUCGAUUUUGUUGACUGAUUGCUUUCCCAGCGAAUGGAUUAUAUUCUUGUCUCUAAUCCAGUCUUUUCGAAUUUAGGGGCCUCUCUUAAGCCCACAUCUAGGCCUAGGAAUGAGCAUGGGGGAGGCAGCAAAAUCAGAACCCAAGUUCAUACUACAAAAGCAUUUUUGUUGGCUAUAACUGAGUGACUGCGUGUUGUUUGACCUGCAAGCUGGGUAGUUGAAUUGUCAUUCAAAUCAAUGAUAGUUUAAUUCCACUAGGACCUGAUGAAGGUGGAACUAGGCAGAAAAACCUGAUUCUGUCAAAGUCUGGGGAGAAUGACGAAAAAGCAAUCAAUCAGUGAAUCGGGCUUAAUUUUUUUCUGGGACUGGGACUAGCAGGAAACAAGCAGUGAAGUGGAAGACGCGACAGGCGUGACAAGAACUGGCGCCUGUGCACUAGCAGCUCUAAAGUAAUUACUCACUCAGGGCAUCCAUCGUGCCCAGCUCAUCAUCACGCUCCUUCAAGGAGACUUGCUGACGGAGAAGGUGCUGACUGGCCGGAAUCUUCUUCGCAAAUCCUGAACUCUCAUCUUGCGUUUAGAUUCCUUAACCAUGGAUUGCAGGGAAGCACGUGUAUGUUAGCGUUCCAGUCUCUGAACACUCGAAAAGUAGUUAGUUAUCUAAAGUAAUCAACUAGCAUUCCUUUCAUGUCUUGACGUGCUAGAGGACAGUGUUUCAAAGGCUGGACUUGGUCUUCUGGAGACUAAGAAAAUAGAGUCCUUGAAGUCAAGCCGACUCUGCUGUUAGCCUCCUAAAGGAAAAGGUAGAUAGAACAGGUCUUGUUUACAAAACAAAUUCAAGACCUACUUAUCUACCAACAGCAUUUAUACGUAUAGUGUGGUCUUGCUAUGGAAAAUAGGAACAGUAAAUUGAGAGAUUAGAAAGGGUGGGAAAAGGCAGUGAACCCACAAGACUCUUCCUGUACCAACUGAUAGGAAGGUGGCUGGAAAUUGGAGAAGUUGUUCAGGAAAGCGGAGGACGGGACCUUUCCCGUAGUGCAGCCUUCGGAGGGUCCAGCAGGUUCUCUGGUAGCUAAGCCUCCUUGGACAGAGACGAGCGGAUCUCAUUUACAGAAUGCCAUGUCAUGGUGAAUUGUGCUGCGGGCAGCUGCCAGUGUGAGCCGUGUAAGGUUAUGAUUCUGACAAACAUUGAGAGGAUGAGAAGCAUUAAGGAAAAGGCCUCAUUGCCCAUGCAAUCACGCUGCUUUAUACUGGUCACCAUGCUUGUGCUUCAGAAAGAUUUUAUUGGGUGUGUACAAGCAAUGAUUGCAUACCAUUGUCUGAAUCAGCAGGAAGUCCAUUAAACACACUUUUCCAAAUAAAAGGCAAUUUCAUUUUCUCGGACACCGGUGUCUCUGACCAACUUUGCAGUCCCAUCUAAGGGUGCCUUAAAUUCUGAUUAUUCUGAAUUACUAAGCCCAUGUUAGUUUACACUAAGAUUCUGUGGUUAUUUUACGUAGUCUCCCCCUUGUUGAGGGAAGCCAAAACUUAUGUUAAUAACCUACUCAAGAGUUAGAAAGUAAUAUAGGUAAAGCUAGGAAAAGAACAGAUUGGUAUCUUUUGUUUUAUCUGCAGUGUCAGGGAUCGUGGCUACAAUAUUCGGACUUUUUAAAAAUCCGUUUUGUUUUUUGUUUUGUUUUUUAACAGAUAUAUCAGCAGGUUGCAGCUGAACAUGGCCUUGAGGUAAAUCCUGCCCCUGUUGAAAUUUGAUUUCAGCAGAUUAUUCAUGGUAAUUUAGGAACUGGAAUAUUUUACAGAAAAAAAAAAGUUUCGUUUGGUUCUGUUCUAGACUUAUUUUUUCUUCUCCUAGAAGAACCAUGUUUAAACAAAACUUCACUAUGCUGAAGAACUGUGAUGCUUUAAGUUGGUCAUCUGCCUCAUUUUAAACCCCCGCUCGCUCUCCCGAUGCGCCGAAAGUGCCACGUUUAUGUGUAGGCUGCUGCGGGACGUGAAGUGCGUAGCAGAGCGUUCCAUUUUGCCCAGUCUUGCCAUCAAGCCGCAGGUGCCCUUCUGUUCCUUCAGACUGCCUCCCCUCCAGGUUUUCUCCAUCUCCCUGCCGUACGUCCUUUGCUGUAGUUUGGAAAGAGCCCCACCAUCCCUCGCACGGAGAGCAGAGAGCCUGACAACGGUGGUUGGAUGAGGAAGAUACUAAUUUAUUCAGUAUUUGGUGUGUACCGUUUGUUACACGUUAGUCCUUAGGGACCGAAUGAUGAACAAGACAGACACUGUCCCUGCCUUCAUGGAAGGGCGCACGGUAGAGGUCAUUUCAAAGUUUGAGUGGGCUAAGUUCUGUGAACGAGGGGAACAGGUGUGACAGCGUGCUCAGUGCCAGAAACUGCAUCACAGUGCCAUUCACUCCCGGGAAAACAGAAGGCACGUGGCUUCCCUGGUUCUCUGUGGACAGCCUCUUGCCUUCUGGAGUCUGUUCCCGGCUGACUCUCUAGAUGUCCCGGGUGUGCCGCGGCCACUAGUAAUAUAUGUAUCUCUUCCCUCCCUUGCCCCUGCCCCCACGCUCUGUAGGCCUUGGACUUUCAGAUACUUUGCAUAUAAACAAACAGACCGAUACAGUUUGACCACCUGAAAGGCCUGGAGUUCAUUUUGGCUGAGCCCUCAUUUUGCAGCCGCGCCUGGUCAUGACUGACCUAACGUCAUACAGGCGGCAGUGCGCAGGGCUAGAAACCAGUGCUUGAACGUCAAGUUCAACCAGCUGAGGGGUGGCCGGCGGAGAGGGGUGGGUACAGAAGAGAGGGAGCUGGCAUCAGAAUGGUCUAGUAGAAAGUGACGUGCUUUGGCAUUGAAAUGCCAUUAUGUAUCUUUAGACACCCAGGCUUUUCCAAAGAAAAACAGGGAUGCACAAAUUGGUGAAGCUGACAACUAAACGUGUACAGAUGCUGAGAAAUGUCCGCAUUGAAAAAUGACAAUUUUGAAUUUUCAUAAUCUAGCAGGAUGCCGAUCUUCCUCGGGGAGACAGUUAUUCUUAUAUCUGGAGUCAUCCCGUUGUGCAGGAACUCAUACUUAUGCCUAGAAAUUAAAUGUUGAUAGGACACAGCUUCAGAAGUUCUGUAGAUGGGCUAUUUACAGAACAUUUUGUAUUAGUUUUCAAAUAAUGCUGUGAUCCGUGUUUUUUUUUUAAAUUAAUUGACUACCAAAGUAACGGCUCAUUUCCCAACAUAUCUAUCUCUUUUCUAAAAUUUGUCCUAAGAGACCUCUCUUUUUAAACACCGUUUAUUUUUGAUCAAUUUCUUCACCUAAGAGACUUACAUACACUCUUACUGCAUCAAAGUUUGUAUAGAAAUUGGUGUUUUAAAACUUGGGAUUUUAAGGUUCAAAUGUAUAAAGCCUUCGUAAUAAAGAUGUUUGAACCGGG